AUAACCAUGAUGAGAUUUACCGCCCCAGUCUGAGUUUAGCUGACUGAUUGGUUUCCCUGAUUUUUA